AUAAGCCUAAUGAUAAUGAUGGCAAAAGAGAUCCUAGCUUUAUUUUAACAAAAUUAUUUUUUAAUAUUUCUUUGUUAAAUUUUCUUAAAUAAAUUUAUUAUAGGGUUGGUUAUUGGAAAAAGGUGGACUGAUGCCACAGCUACCCAAUGAUACUCGCUGGAACUCCCAACUAGAUUGUUUACAGACAUACAUAUCUAAUUAUUCUCUGUACGUUGACAUUAGAGGUGAGCAUAUGGAAUCCAUUGAUCCUUCGAUAGGAAGCCUAAUUGACAAUCUAUCAAUACAGAGAGAAGCAAUAAAUUAAUAUGCACAACUGAAAAUUGUUGGUGUUGCGUUAGAUAAGUUGCAAGCAGACGAUACAACUUUGUCUGAAGCAGUUGAGAUUUGGCAAAGCCUCAUACAUAAUGAAAAAUUGGCUUUGUACAAAGAUGAUAUUUUAAAGAGGUUCAAGAAGGCAAUUAUUCCAUGUCAUUUUCUUGCCAAUUUAACAGAUCCAAAAUAUGAAGGAAGAACAUUGGAUAGAAGUCAAGAAGAAGAAGCUGAGGAAUGGUUGAAUGAAGUCUAUCCUGAAUUUAUGCCAGGCUAUUAUGCGUUUAAACUAAAAGAUGCUAAUUGUUUCCCAACAUAUUUAUUCAACGAUAGUGUUAAAAGCACAACAUCA